rnacentral:rRNA from 1 species
AGAGUUUGAUCAUGGCUCAGGAUUAACGCUGGCGGCGUGCAUAACACAUUCAAGUCGAACGGUGAGGGGGCUUCGGCCCCUGAUCAGUGGCGGACGGGUGAGUAACGCGUGAGCAAUCUACCUCUUGGUGAGGGAUAACAACCGGAAACAGUUGCUAAUACCUCAUGAAACGGCAGUUCCGCAUGGGACAACCGUCAAAGAUUUAUUGCCAAGAGAUGAGCUUGCGUCUGAUUAGCUAGUUGGUGAGGUAAUGGCUCACCAAGGCGACGAUCGGUAGCCGGACUGAGAGGUUGAACGGCCACAUUGGAACUGAGAUACGGUCCAGACUCCUACGGGAGGCAGCAGUGGGGAAUAUUGGGCAAUGGGCGAAAGCCUGACCCAGCGACGCCGCGUGAGGGAAGAAGAUCUUCGGAUUGUAAACCUUAGUCAACAGGGAAGAAGAAAGUGACGGUACCUGUGGAGGAAGCCACGGCUAACUACGUGCCAGCAGCCGCGGUAAUACGUAGGUGGCGAGCGUUAUCCGGAAUUACUGGGUGUAAAGGGUGUGUAGGCGGGCUAGCAAGUCAGAUGUGAAAACUAUGGGCUCAACCCAUAGCCUGCAUUUGAAACUGUUGGUCUUGAGAGUCGGAGAGGUAAACGGAAUUCCGAGUGUAGCGGUGAAAUGCGUAGAUAUUCGGAGGAACACCGGUGGCGAAGGCGGUUUACUGGACGACAACUGACGCUGAGACGCGAAAGCGUGGGGAGCAAACAGGAUUAGAUACCCUGGUAGUCCACGCCCUAAACGAUGAACACUAGGUGUGGGGUGCAAAGCAUUCCGUGCCGCAGCUAACGCAAUAAGUGUUCCACCUGGGGAGUACGGCCGCAAGGUUGAAACUCAAAGGAAUUGACGGGAGCCCGCACAAGCAGUGGAGUAUGUGGUUUAAUUCGACGCAACGCGAAAAACCUUACCAAGGAUUGACAUCCAGAGGAGGCCGGGUAAUGCUGGCUGUGCCCUUCGGGGAACUCUGAGACAGGUGGUGCAUGGUUGUCGUCAGCUCGUGUCGUGAGAUGUUGGGUUAAGUCCCGCAACGAGCGCAACCCUUACUGUUAGUUGCUACGCAAGAGCACUCUGGCAGGACUGCCGUUGACAAAACGGAGGAAGGUGGGGACGACGUCAAAUCAUCAUGCCCCUUAUAUCUUGGGCUACACACGUACUACAAUGGCGUGGAACAAAGGGCAGCGACCCCGCGAGGGUGAGCGAAUCCCAGAAAACACGUCCCAGUUCGGACUGGAGGCUGCAACUCGCCUCCACGAAGUUGGAAUUGCUAGUAAUCGCGAAUCAGCAUGUCGCGGUGAAUACGUUCCCGGGCUUUGUACACACCGCCCGUCAAACCAUGAAAGUUGAAAACACCCGAAGCCUGUGGGCUAACCGCAAGGAGGCAGCAGUCGAAGGUGGGUUCGAUGAUUGGGGUUAAGUCGUAACAAGGUAGCCGUAUCGGAAGGUGCGGCUGGAUCACCUCCUU